rnacentral:lncRNA from 1 species
GGCUCCGCAGGCAGCAGCAAAAUGCCCCCCUUUUUGGGAAGAUUCGGAGUACCCGGUUUGGCACCGAGGAAGCCGGAGAUGGAGCGAGCGACCUAGAUGAGGAUGAGGACCUGCAAAUCCAGGUGGCCUAGGACAUCCAGGCAGAACAGGACUGGCCCACAGAUGCCCAGCUGAGCAUCCACUCAAACCAGAUGGCCUUCUUCACUGUCUGUACUUGCUUGGGUUCCAUUCCCCCCUACACACACCCCGCUUUGAACCACUUCCUCCUCUCCCAGGAGGGCAGCAGUUUCACCCACUUUCGCCCCAGUGAAGGGGGAGCCUGUCGGAUAUGUAUAUUUUAUAUAUGCCCAGGGUUGCUUGAACCCAUCCAAACAACCCAGCACCCAGAUCUUAAGACCCUACCUGCAUAGGACUUCAUGCAGAGAUGGGACCAUGGUGAGGGAGGCUUGGUGGUCUGGAAGGGGAUGUUCAUAUUAAGACACUAUGAACUCAGACUUUUGUAAUAAAUGGACUUCAAUCUCUCA